GUGUUCGCUUCAGUGGCGCAUAUGCUAAACAUUGGAACGAUACAGAGAAGAUUAGCAUUGCCCCUGUGCAAGGGUGACACGCAAAUUUGUAAAAUGUUGUAAAAGUAA